UGCAUCUCUGACGUGUGUCUAAACAUCGCCGUUUGACCGCAACCAAUGAGCUGCUAGAGAGACAUUUUCCACUGGCGUGGACCAAUCAGAUUACAGAACACACGAGCGCAUGAAAGAUCUUCAGCAGCACGAGCCGCUCAGCACCAGUGUCUGAGAUGGAGACAUCAAGAGUCGCUCUCAUCGCUCUCGUGUGUGUUGUGUUCUCCGGUCAGAAGAGGAUCUCUGGAGCAGAAGUGGAGACGAGAGUCAGACGAGGAGACGACGUCACUCUCUACUCCGACUGUGUUUGGAAAAGUGGAUUUUAUCCAGUGUGGUUCAGAAACUGCUCACAUCAGGAUCAACCUCGUCUGAUGAUCUCAUUUCAAGAUUUGCUGCAUGGUCCUUUUCCACGUCACUCGUUUGUGUUUAAUGUCUCCACCAACGUACACGAUCUGCUGAUUAAGAACGUCACAGAAUCAGAUGUGGGCGUGUACUACUGCGCUGUGAGAGAAAACAAUAUUACAAAGGAUAAAGACGGCGUGAUAAUCAGCACUGCAGUGUUUCAUUAUGGGAACAGAUGGACUCGACUCUCUGUACUCGAAGCCUCUCCCGGGGUUACUGUCUCUCCGAACACCCCGACCCCGUGUGUAUCAGAGUGGAGUGUUAGCUGGAAGCUGGUGUUGGGUGUGUGUGCUGUGUGUGUUCUCCUCUCCUCACUCCUCUCCUCCAUCUGUGUGUACUGCCUCUGCACAAACACCACUAAAGGUACUCACACACUCGCUCUGAUCUCUAACACACUAAAGGUACUCACACACUCGCUCUGAUCUCUAACACACUAAAG
ensembl:lncRNA